UGGGUUGUAGCUCAACGGUAGAGCACUUGCCUAGAAUGUCUGAGACACUGGGUUUGAUUCUCAGCACCACAU
rnacentral:tRNA from 1 species